UACGGAGGAUCCGAGCGUUAUCCGGAUUUAUUGGGUUUAAAGGGUGCGUAGGCGGCCUGUUAAGUCAGGGGUGAAAGACGGUAGCUCAACUAUCGCAGUGCCCUUGAUACUGAUGGGCUUGAAUGUACUUGAGGUAGGCGGAAUGUGACAAGUAGCGGUGAAAUGCAUAGAUAUGUCACAGAACACCAAUUGCGAAGGCAGCUUACUAAGGUAUGAUUGACGCUGAGGCACGAAAGCGUGGGGAUCAAACAGG
rnacentral:rRNA from 1 species